ACUCCUACGGGAGGCAGCAGUGGGGAAUUUUCCGCAAUGGGCGAAAGCCUGACGGAGCAAUGCCGCGUGGAGGUGGAAGGCCUACGGGUCGUCAACUUCUUUUCUCGGAGAAGAAACAAUGACGGUAUCUGAGGAAUAAGCAUCGGCUAACUCUGUGCCAGCAGCCGCGGUAAUA
rnacentral:rRNA from 1 species